rnacentral:rRNA from 1 species
GAAAGUUACUUCGGUACAUCGGUGACAGGUGGUGCAUGGUUGUCGUCAGCUCGUGUCGUGAGAUGUUGGGUUAAGUCCCGCAACGAGCGCAACCCCUAUUGUUAGUUGCCAUCAUUCAGUUGGGCACUCUAGCGAGACUGCCGGUAAUAAACCGGAGGAAGGUGGGGAUGACGUCAAAUCAUCAUGCCCCUUAUGACCUGGGCUACACACGUGCUACAAUGGUUGGUACAACGAGUUGCGAGUCGGUGACGGCGAGCUAAUCUCUUAAAGCCAAUCUCAGUUCGGAUUGUAGGCUGCAACUCGCCUACAUGAAGUCGGAAUCGCUAGUAAUCGCGGAUCAGCACGCCCGCGGUCGAAUACGUUCCGGGCCUU